rnacentral:lncRNA from 1 species
CCGACACCGCCCGUGGGACCUCUGUCGCCGAUGGAGCUGCUGCCGCUGUUGAUGGAGCUGCCGCCGCCGUCGCUGGAGCUGCCGCCGCCGUCGCUGUUGCUGGUGAAGUUCUUGAUGGUGCCGCCAUUGGGGAGAUGGUCUGGAAUGUGGAUGAAAAAGGGUCGCCGGAAGAUGUGGUUGGAAGCCAAGGAGGCGCCGGAGGAGAUGGAAACUAGUGCGCUAAGAAAGGAAGUUACUGGCUUGUGAAGAAGAAGUGCGGAACGUGCUGGUAUUUAAGGACGGUUUGAGAAGGGGUAAAGGCGGGAUUUUUACCGCGCCGUCUACACGAAUUUCGGGGGAGUGGUUGUCUCAGGCGCCCGUUUCGAAAAGAUUGCAAUCAUUAGGCAGAAGAUCGUGAAACGGAAGGAUAUUUUUAAUGCGUUUGUUUCAUAGGAGAAGUUGAAAAGGAAUUUUGAUGUAAAGAUUAUGUUUUACUCCGAAACAGGGGGGCAUGUGUUGACGCUAUAUUUUGACACGUAUGGAAUCGGUGUCAAGGAGGGAAGGAUUGGCCGAUACGUCAAGUUAAAAGGUCACGAUCGGGAAUCGGCCGAUUGGUGCUACAGUUGGAGAUUGGCCAAUUAGUGCUGCAGUGUUCUGGUGGAUAGAGUUGGUAGAGAUUGGCUGAUUGAAAGGCUGGAGCAAUUGGGCCAAUAUGGGCUUAAAGUGGAGCAGAGAGAGAGAAGACGAAGGGGGAUUGGCCCGCGGGGGUAUAAUAACCAACUCCGAUACGAGUUGUACUUGUAAAUAUUCGUUUUUGUUUAAAAUUAGAGAUAGAUCCUAGUCGGUUAGGGAAUUGGUUGUAACAGGCUAUAAAUAGCCAUCUUUAGAGAUCUGUAAACAACAUAUCAAUCAAUACAACAAUCUACUAUUUCCUCGUACUCUACUUUCAAGUCUGCGACUUUGCCAAUACUUUUCUUCUUUCACGAGUUCGUACGGGUUGGUAGGGCUGCAUCGACACAAUCUCCGGCCGAUUCUGU